GGGUCAGUAGCUCAGUGGAUAGAGCAUCGCACUUCUAAUGCGUUGGUCGGGGGUUCAAAUCCCUCCUGACCCG
rfam:Synechococcus phage S-ShM2, complete genome.